UACGGAGGGUGCAAGCGUUAUCCGGAUUCACUGGGUUUAAAGGGUGCGCAGGUGGGCAGGUAAGUCAGUGGUGAAAUCUCCGGGCUUAACCCGGAAACUGCCGUUGAUACUAUUUGUCUUGAAUAUUGUGGAGGUAAGCGGAAUAUGUCAUGUAGCGGUGAAAUGCUUAGAUAUGACACAGAACACCGAUUGCGAAGGCAGCUAACUAAGCCAUAACUGACGCUGAUGCACGAAAGCGUGGGGAGCAAACAGG
rnacentral:rRNA from 1 species